rnacentral:snRNA from 1 species
GGAUGUGAGAGCAAUCUGGCUGUGACAUCUGUCAUCCUAUUGAUUACCAGGGUUGAUUCGGCUGAUCUGGCUGGCUAGGCGGGUGUCCCCUUCCUCCCUCACCGCUCCAUGUGUUUCCUUCCCAAAGCUAUGCACUCAGUCAAAGAGGACGGCCUUCCCCCAAACAGAGAUGACUGGUCUUUGGUGGAGGGUCUACAAAUAGCUAUGCUCCCCUGUUAGAACCUCCAAACAAGCUCUCAAAUUUUUAACAGACUGGGAAAUUUGCUGUGAGGGAAGGUAAAUAGCUCACCUGGGCAAUGAACCUGCUUUGCAGACAUUCUGU